AUUGAACGCUGGCGGCAGGCCUAACACAUGCAAGUCGAGCGGAUGAAGGGAGCUUGCUCCUGGAUUCAGCGGCGGACGGGUGAGUAAUGCCUAGGAAUCUGCCUGGUAGUGGGGGAUAACGUCCGGAAACGGGCGCUAAUACCGCAUACGUCCUGAGGGAGAAAGUGGGGGAUCUUCGGACCUCACGCUAUCAGAUGAGCCUAGGUCGGAUUAGCGAGUUGGUGGGGUAAAGGCCUACCAAGGCGACGAUCCGUAACUGGUCUGAGAGGAUGAUCAGUCACACUGGAACUGAGACACGGUCCAGACUCCUACGGGAGGCAGCAGUGGGGAAUAUUGGACAAUGGGCGAAAGCCUGAUCCAGCAAGGCCGCGUGUGUGAAGAAGGUCUUCGGAUUGUAAAGCACUUUAAGUUGGGAGGAAGGGCAGUAAGUUAAUACCUUGCUGUUUUGACGUUACCAACAGAAUAAGCACCGGCUAACGACGUG
rnacentral:rRNA from 1 species